CCUACGGGAGGCAGCAGUGGGGAAUAUUGCACAAUGGGCGCAAGCCUGAUGCAGCCAUGCCGCGUGUGUGAAGAAGGCCUUCGGGUUGUAAAGCACUUUCAGCGGGGAGGAAGGCGUUAAGGUUAAUAACCCUGGCGAUUGACGUUACCCGCAGAAGAAGCACCGGCUAACUCCGUGCCAGCAGCCGCGGUAAUACGGAGGGUGCAAGCGUUAAUCGGAAUUACUGGGCGUAAAGCGCACGCAGGCGGUCUGUCAAGUCGGAUGUGAAAUCCCCGGGCUCAACCUGGGAACUGCAUUCGAAACUGGCAGGCUAGAGUCUUGUAGAGGGGGGUAGAAUUCCAGGUGUAGCGGUGAAAUGCGUAGAGAUCUGGAGGAAUACCGGUGGCGAAGGCGGCCCCCUGGACAAAGACUGACGCUCAGGUGCGAAAGCGUGGGGAGCAAACAGGAUUAGAUACCCCGGUAGUC
rnacentral:rRNA from 1 species